CCCUAUAAAAGAUUUGUGAGCCAGGAGCUGGGUCAGUCUUGCUCUAGUUUUGGAGAGAGAUAAACCUAGCUGCUUGAAGGAGCAAAGGCUACCAUGGACAGAACUGGGGCUGAGCUGUCAGGCCUGGUGACCUCCCAGGCUGCAGCCUGACAGGAAGGCCUAGAGAGGUACUGGACUGCAGGGAAAGGCAGCAGGUCCAACUCCCCACUUGCCAAUGAUGAGAGGCCAUUACACUUCAGUCUGCCCCAGUGAACAGGGCAGUAGCCACUGAGGUCUUCGGCGUCACUGAAGGACCUGCCACCGAAUUGCCACCGAAUACCCGGAGCGAGGGAAGGACCCGCUGCCAAAGACCCGGAGCGUCGCCAAAAACCAUUUUUCAUCAGUACAGAACUUACGAGGACAUGUGGUUGAAGUGAGUCCAUUACCUAAAAUCUGGAAAAUGGAGAAGAAUGAAAACUGAGUGGUAAUCAAGUACCUUGGUAAGAAAGGCUUGCCCCAAAGGAAAUCCAUGAGGACAUGGUGGCAAUACUCGGGGAUGAUGACCUCUAUAUGCCAGAGUGUGUGUGGCUGCAGGGAUUGCUGAGUUGAGGGAGAAUCAGCAGUGCACUUGAGCGAAGGUGAGGAUGCCUCAGAGGCAACCAUACCAGCAAAAGUUGAUCCAGUUCACAAGAUGGUAAUGAAUGAUGGAAGAUCAACAGUCAGUCUCACAGCUGAGAUAGUGGGCAUCAGCAUUAGGUCAGUGCAUGCCAUCCUAUAUGAAGACUUGGGCAUGAGAAAGGUGUUAGUAAGAUGAGUACCCAGAAUUUGACUGCUGAUCAGAAGUGUGUGACUUGACCUCUCCUGAGAACUUUUGGAACUUUUUGCUUCUGCAGGAGAGUGCAUCACCCCAGACAUCCCAGGUUGCACUGACCACAGCUACUGAAUGUGGCUCAACUGCUUCCCCAUGCAGCCUGUUCACCAGAUUUGGCUCCUUGACACUCCUAUGUGUGUCAAGAUGAAGGAAGAUCUUUGUGAGAAGAGUUGAAGAGUUUCUGGACAUGCUGGACUCCUACAAGCCAGGCAUAGCCACGCUGCAGCUGUGCUGGAUCAAAUGCAUUAAUGUCAAUGGGGAUUAUACUAAAAAAUGAACAAUUGAACAUGGACUGUUUUGUUUUUUUUUCUCUGUCAGGCUAGACACUUUGUUAAUACUCCUUGUACAAGCAUCAUGCAAUCUUCCGUCAUUUUCCCUUUUGUUAAUACAGUAAAUCUCACUCAUAGGUGUUGCUCCAAAACUUCACAAAUGCAAAAUAAAUCUUCCUUAA